UGAAAAUUUUAAUAUAACUAAAUUUAUAAUUAUAUCUUUGGAACACAAAGGAGAAAUGCUUGAGGUGAUGGAUACCCCUUUACCGUGAUGUGAUUAUUAUGCAUCUUAUGCUGCAUCAAAACAUCUCAUAUACCCUAUAAAUAUAUACACCUACUAUGUACCCACCGAAAUUAAAAAUAAAAAAGGGAGAAAUUCUUUUUAUGGAAGUAGUAAAUGUCAAAUCCCUUUAUCUCAGCAUAAAUUAGUACAAAAGCCAUACCAUCCUUAUUUAUCACUACCUUUCACAAAAUACUUUUUUCUUUUUCCUGAGGCAAAAACAAAAUGUCUUGUAUAUUAAUGGAUAGCUUGUGAUAUUUGGAAAGAAAAAUAUCAAAAAGCGAUCUAUACUUUGAUUCUGGGCCUUACCUCAUAAAACCAUCACAUGCCAUAUUCAUUUGUUAAAUAAUUAUUUUUGAACACCUAAAUGCCAGGCAAUGUUCUAGGGCCUACACAUACAUUAUCAAAUAAAACAAAACAAAACAACAGUCAUACUAGAACUUACAUAUAGAGAGAGACAGACAAUAAAUAAUGAACAAAAUUCCAUAGUAUAUUUAUAUAGGAAAAUCCCCAUAGAAAAAGUAGAAUGGUGUGUGUGUGUGUGCGUGUGUGUGUGUGUGUGGUGGGAGGUGGUCAAGGUGGAAGCUGGAAAACUAGCUAAAAAGUUAGUGAUAAAACAUCAAAAUAACAAUUUCUUUUGAAAGAUGAGCCACCGUGUGUUUUUUAUACAUUUGACAUGGUAUGGAAGAGAAAGAGAGAUAACAAGAAUAAGCUCAAGCUUUUUGAUGGAAGCAAAUAAAAGAUUGAGUUCCCAUUGGAUAAACUGAGAAGGUUGAGGGUAGAGCAGGAUUUGAAGAGGAAAUUUAAGAGUUAAAUUUUAAAUGAGUUAUGUUUGAAAUAUGUGUUAGAUACCUAAGUGCAAAAUCAAGUAUGCAAUUUAGUAUAUGACUUUGACAUUUAAGAGGAGCUGAGAUAUAUACUGAAGAGGUUUUCAAGAUACUAAUGGUAUUUUAUUAUAGAAUAGUCAAUUAGCUCAAUAGAAAAGUGAAGAUAAUAUGCACAAGAUAGCAGACACUAAGCUCUGGGUUUCUACAGCUUGAAGUGUUAGGGAGAAAUUUGGGAACCAACUAAGGAUACUGACCAUAAGCUGUGAACAGGAGAAAAAACAAAAAGGCUGGUGACUUGCAUGCCAAAGAAAGAAUAUCAAGGCCGAGAGAAUGAUCAAUUAUGUCAGAUGAUACUGAUAGGUCAUAUAAACAUCUAGAAAACUCUUCUGUGCAGGUUCAAAACAAACAAAUAAAAAUUGACCACCAAAUGCUUCAACCAAAAGUACAUAUGGAAAAUAAAUACAGAAAAAUAAAACUAAUUGAUUUCACAAUAUAUGGAUUAUUUUUUCUUACUUUUCUUAUUAAAUGUUCUUCAUUAUCAUUGUAACAUUUUUGAUAAAAAGAAUGUGUUUACAUUCUCCAAUGGGCUCCAAGUUUACAUGCCUAUAAUUAUAGAUGUACUUCUGUUCACAGUUUUAGAAAAUUGCUUUCAUACUUUCUUGCUUCAGUGGCUCUGUUUUCAAGAUAUUUUUGUAAAUACUUUAACAUCAUCAUCUCCUGGAAGCCCCCUUCAUAGAUCCAAAACCAUAGAAACCUUUUUUUUCUCCAGGUAUCAUCCCAGGUGGCAGUGGCAGCAUUUCUUCCCACAGUCUUAAAAGGAUUUUUGUUUUUUUCCCCAGCAAACUCAACCACCUUGGGGAUCUUGUCCAGGCCAGGGAAGAGGACUGCUGUCUCUGAUGGUGAAGUUCUGGCAUCAGAAAUACUUUGGUGUGCCACUCUGGACUGCCCUCACUUUGGGGAAUGCAAUCUGGUAAGACAGUUUUCUCUUGAUUUAUCUUUUAUUUAAAAUGGUCCCUCGGUUUCUUUUUCUUUCUUCGUCCUCCUCUUCCUUUACUCAGUUCUCCAAUCCUCCUCCUUCUUCAUCUUAAUACAUGCACUAUUAGAAAUGUCAGGCCGGGCGCCGUGGCUCACGCCUGUAAUCCCAGCACUUUGGGAGGCCGAGGCGGGCGGGUCACGAGGUCAGGAGAUAGAGACCAUCCUGGCUAACACGGUGAAACCCCGUGUCCACUAAAAAUACAAAAAAUUAGCCGGGCGUGGCGGCGGGCGCCUGUAGUCCCAGCUACAGCUACUCGGGAGGCUGAGGCAGGAGAAUGGCGUCAACCCGGGAGGCGGAGCUUGCAGUGAGCGGAAAUCGCGCCACUGCACUCCAGCCUGGGAGACAGGGA
rnacentral:lncRNA from 1 species